UACAAGUCAUAAGAUUUGAUAGCUAUUUUAGUUCAUGUAUUUCAGGAGAAAUAUGUAUGCACAACUCAACCUCCCCUUCUCGUGCACCAUUUUACCGAUUUCAACCACCUCUUGAGAUAUUUCUUCUAACAAGAACUAUUUAUAAUUUGUCUGUUGAUAGUUUGAUUCAUUCAGGGAGCUUCAGCAAAUUCUAAUGGAAUACCUUAUAACAUUCGAUUCUU
rnacentral:lncRNA from 1 species